UACGAAGGGUGCAAGCGUUAAUCGGAAUUAUUGGGCGUAAAGCGCGCGCAGGCGGUGUAAGAAGUCUGAUGUGAAAGACCAGGGCUCAACCCUGGGAGGACAUUGGAAACUGGUACACUUGAGUGCAGGAGAGGAGAGUGGAAUUCCACGUGUAGCGGUGAAAUGCGUAGAGAUGUGGAGGAACACCAGUGGCGAAGGCGGCUCUCUGGCCUGCAACUGACGCUGAGGCGCGAAAGCUAGGGGAGCGAACGGG
rnacentral:rRNA from 1 species